rnacentral:rRNA from 1 species
CCUACGGGAGGCAGCAGUGGGGGAUAUUGCACAAUGGGGGAAACCCUGAUGCAGCGACGCCGCGUGGGUGAAGAAGCGCCUCGGCGCGUAAAGCCCUGUCAGCAGGGAAGAAAAUGACGGUAUCUGAAGAAGAAGCCCCGGCUAACUACGUGCCAGCAGCCGCGGUAAUACGUAGGGGGCAAGCGUUAUCCGGAUUGACUGGGUGUAAAGGGGGCGCAGACGGCGAUGCAAGCCAGGAGUGAAAGCCCGGGGCCCAACCCCGGGACUGCUUUUGGAACUGCGUGGCUAGAGUGCAGGAGGGGCAGGCGGAAUUCCUGGUGUAGCGGUGAAAUGCGUAGAGAUCAGGAGGAACACCGGUGGCGAAGGCGGCCUGCUGGACUGCAACUGACGUUGAGGCCCGAAAGCGUGGGGAGCAAACAGGAUUAGAUACCCGUGUAGUC